rnacentral:rRNA from 1 species
UACAGAGGGGGCAAGCGUUGUUCGGAAUUACUGGGCGUAAAGGGCGUGUAGGCGGCCCGCUAAGUCGAACGUGAAAUCCCCGGGCUCAACCCGGGAACUGCGUCCGAUACUGGCAGGCUUGAAUCCGGGAGAGGGAUGUGGAAUUCCAGGUGUAGCGGUGAAAUGCGUAGAUAUCUGGAGGAACACCGGUGGCGAAGGCGGCAUCCUGGACCGGUAUUGACGCUGAGGCGCGAAAGCUAGGGGAGCAAACGGG